UUAGCCUGAUCUAACCCUGGAAGGCAGUCCUCCAUGAACACACCCUCUCAUUUGGUAUUGUUCAGGCCUGAGAUAUAAAGGAAAGUAGCGACAAGAUUUUACACGUUCCUCAUUCAGGUUGGAGAAAGCCGUUUGCAGCAAUCUUGCAGAACUAUUUGUUUCCAUUACUGACAGGAUGGAGUCAGCCAUAACUAAACUGGUGGAGGUCUUCACGAAAUACGCUGGGAAGGACAAGCGGCUGGGGAAGAAGGACUUCCAGAAACUGAUGGAGACCGAGCUGAAGAAUUUCAUCACAAAUACAGAAAACAAUAAGGCAGUGAAUGAAUUAAAGGACCAAAUUGACAAGGACAAGGACGGAAAGUUAACCUUCGAGGAAUACUUCUGUCUAGUUACUCAGCUGGCGACAAAUAAAUACAAGCUGCAGUAAAGCCUCAUCAAGAUGUUCCCAUGGCACCGGCCCUGACCGACUGUUGCUCUUCAUCAUUUACUGUUAAGAGUUUUUUUAUUAGAUUUUUUUUAUUAUUAUUUUGUGAGCGUAUAUUGUAUUGUUGAUAUUAUUUUGAUCAAACAUUAUUCAUUGAUGGCAGUUGAUUAUUUUUUGAUGUUAGCCAGCAGAUUUUUAAGGUUUCCUAUAUCCUCACAACAUAUUUUAAAUUUAAGAAACAGAUAUUGUUUUAAGCUUCAUAAACAAAACGCAACGUAAAACAUCACAAUACAAAUGCUUUACACAUUUAUGUGGAUUUUAUGGGGUUUAGGUUUAUAACUUACUUAUAUUGCUGACGUGCCUUUACAGAAUUAAAGAGUGAACCAAUAGACGUUUGAUAAUU